rnacentral:rRNA from 1 species
GAUGAACGCUGGCGGCGUGCCUAAUACAUGCAAGUCGAGCGAACGGACGAUAAGCUUGCUUCUCUGAUGUUAGCGGCGGACGGGUGAGGAACACGUGGAUAACCUACCUAUAAGACUGGGAUAACUUCGGGAAACCGGAGCUAAUACCGGAUAAUAUUUUGAACCGCAUGGUUCAAAAGUGAAAGACGGUCUUGCUGUCACUUAUACAUGGAUCCGCGCUGCAUUAGCUAGUUGGUAGGGUAACGGCUUACCAAGGCAACGAUGCAUAGCCGACCUGAGAGGGUGAUCGGCCACACUGGAACUGAGACACGGUCCAGACUCCUACGGGAGGCAGCAGUAGGGAAUCUUCCGCAAUGGGCGAAAGCCUGACGGAGCAACGCCGCGUGAGUGAUGAAGGUCUUCGGAUCGUAAAACUCUGUUAUUAGGGAAGAACAUAUGUGUAAGUAACUGUGCACAUCUUGACGGUACCUAAUCAGAAAGCCACGGCUAACUACGUG